UUUUUAGACCUCCCUGGAGGAGCUUGCCACCUAACCGAUAACCCACGAAAGACCUCACCAGCUUUUGAAAACCCAACAUGUAUACCAUCGUCGUCAGUCUACCUCCCAAGAGAAGUAUACUCAAUGAGCCCUCCUCAUUACGUCAGAUCGAGGUGCAGUCAAUAGGCUGGGGGUUGGUGAGCUACAACACUUAUUACAAAAUAAAACCAACUAUGAACGGUAUAAUGAAACUAAUACCUAAAACAGGAUUCAGCAGUAAUACCCAAAAGAAAAUGGGUAUAAAAUUUUAAUCACCUCUAAAAGGCGC
rnacentral:rRNA from 1 species